GAUGAACGCUGGCGGCGUGCCUAAUACAUGCAAGUCGAGCGAACGGACGAGAAGCUUGCUUCUCUGAUGUUAGCGGCGGACGGGUGAGUAACACGUGGAUAACCUACCUAUAAGACUGGGAUAACUUCGGGAAACCGUAGCUAAUACCGGAUAAUAUUUUGAACCGCAUGGUUCAAAAGUGAAAGACGGUCUUGCUGUCACUUAUAGAUGGAUCCGCGCUGCAUUAGCUAGUUGGUAAGGUAACGGCUUACCAAGGCAACGAUGCAUAGCCGACCUGAGAGGGUGAUCGGCCACACUGGAACUGAGACACGGUCCAGACUCCUACGGGAGGCAGCAGUAGGGAAUCUUCCGCAAUGGGCGAAAGCCUGACGGAGCAACGCCGCGCGAGUGAUGAAGGUCUUCGGAUCGUAAAACUCUGUUAUUAGGGAAGAACAUAUGUGUAAGUAACUGUGCACAUCUUGACGGUACCUAAUCAGAAAGCCACGGCUAACUACGU
rnacentral:rRNA from 1 species